CUUUACAGUAUCAAAACUGCUGCGGAGCUGAGACGUGUGUGUCUCGGCUACGGACUUCAGGCGGAAGAGGUGGUUGUCGGUGGUGAGACUACGUCGAAGAAGAACGGUUUUGGUGCGGCGCGGGAAAAACAAAAAUAGAAAUAUAUCGGAUUCGGAAAAGGUGGAUUUGGGCAUAAACUGGUAUGUGAAUGGUUCGGUUGGAAAUGGAGACAGGAAAUGAGGAAGACAUGGAUUUUGAAGGGUGGACGCCAGCUGGGAGAGGAAGAGGGAAAGGACGUGGAAGAAAUAAAAUAGAUGAAGGAAAGGGAAUUGGUGAUAUCCAAGGUAGCAAGCGAGAAUUGGAAGGAAGCAGUUCAGAAGAAGAAAGGAUAGUUAGGAGGAAAGUUAUGAGGGAGGAAUUUAAAAUAAUAUUGAAACUUAAGAACGAGGAAGAACAGGAUAACAUCAGCCCCAUUGUGGUGUCAAGAGAGAUAAAAAAGAAAAUUGGAGAUGUUGAAAUUACGGGAAGACGGCUGAGGUUUACCUGUGGAUGCGAAGGACAGAGACGUUGAGCCUUUUCUUGCAUCUGUGGAGGUGUGCAUCUGCCAUCAUCGUUCCUGGUGGUCGUUUCCAACUAGGACAACCCUGAUCAUCUUAUUUAGAGCUCUAUAUAAGCGAUUUUUUUUUUGUUGGCCAGCGUUAUUAUUUUUUUUACUAAAGACAAUAUAUUAUUUGUCCUGCACGGUUAGUGUUUCAAAGUGCUAGAGUGAAUUAUUAUUUUUUUGUACUGGAAAAGUUUUAUGUUGAAGGUAUGAUGAAGUUGGAUGUGUUUCAAUCCAGAGCUUUUGUAAUAAACAGAACUGGUUGAUAGUAAACUGC